rnacentral:rRNA from 1 species
UAAUACGGAGGGUGCAAGCAUUAAUCGGAAUUAUUGGGCGUAAAGGGCGCGUAGGCGGAAAGAUAAGUCGGAUGUGAAAUUCCAAGGCUCAACCUUGGAGCUGCAUUUGAAACUGUCAUUCUAGAGGGUUGGCGGAGAAAAUGGAAUUCCACGUGUAGCGGUGAAAUGCGUAGAUAUGUGGAAGAACACCUGUGGCGAAAGCGGUUUUCUAGCUUAUACCUGACGCUGAGGCGCGAGAGCAAGGGGAGCAAACAGG